UACGAGGGGGGCAAGCGUUGUUCGGAAUCACUGGGCUUAAAGGGCGCGUAGGCGGGCCGCCGCGUCCGGGGUGAAAUCCUCCCGCUCAACGGGAGAACGGCCUCGGAUACGGGCGGCCUGGAGGGGGGUAGGGGCACGCGGAACUGUGGGUGGAGCGGUGAAAUGCGUUGAGAUCCACAGGAACUCCGGUGGCGAAGGCGGCGUGCUGGACCCCACCUGACGCUGAGGCGCGAAAGCCAGGGGAGCGAACGGG
rnacentral:rRNA from 1 species